rnacentral:sRNA from 20 species
CUUCAAGGAAUGGAGCAAACGGCGGAGCAGGGAUACUUUGGCCGGUUUCAUCUACUCCGCCUCUAAGUCCAAAUCAACAGGAUGUCGGUUUCUUUGAGGCUUUAGCACGAAUUUCUCGUCCUCCUUGUUAAAUUUUUGUUAAAUUCACAAUAUUAUAUACCAUUGGCCCGGGCGCUGUUCUUCCCAUUUCUGAAUUUAUGAAAAGUAAGUUGGCACCAACUACCUUUUUCCCAAUUCGCAUAUCAAACAGAAAAAAAACGCACCUGCCCUUUGGCCUGUGCAUUUUUAU